CUGGGGAGGCGUGGCUUGGCCGCUCCUCUUAGUAAAACGCUGAAUCAGAGUUCUUGGUAACUCUAGCUGUUUAAAACAAACUUUGUUGACCUUUAAAAAUGGAUUUGGGAGGUUGCCGGCAAGCAGCUCUUGGAAAUAGGCACAACUGAAAUCCGUGGACCAGCAUGUUUGUGCACGAGGAAGGGGGUGAGGUGCUGGGUCACUUUCUACAGAAAAUUUAUAAUAACUAAGCCAUCCAUAGAUGAAGUCCUGCUGGUCCCCAGUCAGUGAUGUACAGGUUACCACAUUUUCUGUGCUCAAAUACUUCUGGGCCAGUGGACUCUCAAAUGGAAAUUGGGAACAUGGACUUAUUUCAAGGGACCCACAAAUUGAUUCCGGAAGUGCUAGAACUGCCAACCUCAGGCAGCUGUGGCCUGCAGCCAAACCUACUGUGGGAGACUGGGGAUGCUCACGCAGGGCCAAAACUACCACUACUACUAGCAUGGAGUCCUGAAAUCAGAACAAUACCUGAUCUCAUCAAUUGAUUUGAAGACCAAAUGGAUGUGUUACCCAAGCACAUAACCUCACAACAGUGUGUUACAUUGUAUGCACUGUCAUUCAUCUCUGCUAGCUAUGUGGGACCAUGGUUUGUAAAUGAUUCAGCCAAACCAUCCAGAAUUCAACGAUUCCUCUUGGACUAUGUGGUUAAAUGCCUGGCCUCUUCAUAAAUUUCCUCCCUUCGCUUUUAGGCUGCAGUUGCUCCAGCCCUCACUUCCUAUUGGCAGCCCACAGUCUACUGGAGAAGAAGGCUCAGGCUGUAUGGUCCGAGCUUGUCUUCAGUCCCUUGUCAUGCUCCAAGGGUUCCUGUCCUCCCACAUAGGCUCUCUUCUUUAGGAAAUAAAUGGAGCAACAUUCA